rnacentral:rRNA from 1 species
GAUGAACGCUGGCGGCGUGCUUAACACAUGCAAGUCGAACGGAAAGGCUCCUGCUUGCAGGGGUACUCGAGUGGCGAACGGGUGAGUAACACGUGGGUGAUCUGCCCUGCACUUCGGGAUAAGCCUGGGAAACUGGGUCUAAUACCGGAUAGGACCACCUUUUGGAUGGUGUGGUGGAAAGUUUUUCGGUGUGGGAUGAGCUCGCGGCCUAUCCGCUUGUUGGUGGGGUACUGGCCUACCAAGGCGUCGACGGGUAGCCGGCCUGGGAGGGUGUACGGCCACAGUGGGACGGAGAUACGGGCCAGACUCCUACGGGAGGCAGCAGGGGGGAAUAUUGCACAAUGGGCGCAAGCAUGAUGGAGCGACGCCGCGUGGGGGAUGACGGCCUUAGGGUUGUAAACUCCUUUCGCUAGGGACGAAGCGUUUUUGUGACGGUACCUGGAGAAGAAGCACCGGCUAACUACGUG